CCUACGGGAGGCAGCAGUGAGGAAUAUUGGUCAAUGGGCGAGAGCCUGAACCAGCCAAGUCGCGUGAGGGAGUACUGCCCUAUGGGUUGUAAACCUCUUUUGUCGGGGAGCAAAAGCCGGACGUGUCCGGCUGUGAGAGUACCCGAAGAAAAAGCAUCGGCUAACUCCGUGCCAGCAGCCGCGGUAAUACGGAGGAUGCGAGCGUUAUCCGGAUUUAUUGGGGUUAAAGGGUGCGCAGGCGGAGUUUUAAGUCAGCGGUCAAAUCGUGGGGCUCAACCCCAUCCAGCCGUUGAAACUGGGGAUCUAGAGUGUGCGAGAGGUAUGCGGAAUGCGUGGUGUAGCGGUGAAAUGCAUAGAUAUCACGCAGAACCCCGAUUGCGAAGGCAGCAUACCGGUGCACAACUGACGCUCAGGCACGAAAGCGUGGGUAUCGAACAGGAUUAGAUACCCUUGUAGUC
rnacentral:rRNA from 1 species